CCUACGGGAGGCAGCAGUGGGGAAUAUUGGACAAUGGGCGAAAGCCUGAUCCAGCCAUGCCGCGUGUGUGAAGAAGGCCUUCGGGUUGUAAAGCACUUUCAGUGGGGAAGAAAGCCUUGGGGCUAAUACCCUCGAGGAAGGACAUCACCCACAGAAGAAGCACCGGCUAACUCCGUGCCAGCAGCCGCGGUAAUACGGAGGGUGCGAGCGUUAAUCGGAAUUACUGGGCGUAAAGCGCGCGUAGGCGGUCUGAUAAGCCGGUUGUGAAAGCCCCGGGCUCAACCUGGGAACGGCAUCCGGAACUGUCAGGCUAGAGUGCAGGAGAGGAAGGUAGAAUUCCCGGUGUAGCGGUGAAAUGCGUAGAGAUCGGGAGGAAUACCAGUGGCGAAGGCGGCCUUCUGGACUGACACUGACGCUGAGGUGCGAAAGCGUGGGUAGCAAACAGGAUUAGAUACCCCGGGUC
rnacentral:rRNA from 1 species